GCUGGGUGCUGUGGCGUGCGCCUGUAGUCCCAGCUACUUGGGAGGCUGAGGCAGGAGAAUCGCUUGAACCCAGGAGGCGGAGGUUGCAGUGAGCCAAGAUCGCACCACUGCACUCCAGCCUGGGCAACAGAGCGAGAAUCUGUCUCAA
ensembl:misc_RNA Metazoa_SRP Metazoan signal recognition particle RNA